GACGAACGCUGGCGGCGCGCUUAACACAUGCAAGUCGAACGGAAAGGCCUGCUUUCCCUUGUGGAUUGCGGGUACUCGAGUGGCGAACGGGUGAGUAACACGUGAGUGAUCUGCCCCCAACUUGGGUAUAAGCCUGGGAAACUGGGUCUAAUUCCCGAUAGGACUGCAGGGUGGUGCCUGUGGUGGAAAACGAUUUUCUAGUGGUUGGGGAUGAGCUCGCGGCCUAUCAGCUUGUUGGUGGGGUAAUGGCCUACCAAGGCGGCGACGGGUAGCCGGCCUGAGAGGGUGGACGGGCACAUUGGGAACGGGAUACGGCCCAGACUCCUACGGGAGGCAGCAGUGGGGAAUAUUGCACAAUGGGCGGAAGCCUGAUGCAGCGACGCCGCGUGGGGGAUGACGGCCUUCGGGUUGUAAACUCCUUUCGACCGCGAGGAAGCCACCUGGUUGGAAGGGUGGUGACGGUAGUGGUAGAAGAAGCACCGGCUAACUACGU
rnacentral:rRNA from 1 species